UGAAGUAUGGACUGGAGUGGAGAGAGACAAGAGGCAAGGAGGUCAGCAAGGAGGCUGAGACAAAAAAGGACCUGUGGAAGAAGAAGAGGCUGGGAGGCUCUGACAGAGAGCUAGGGCUGGUUGGUGGAAGGAGAGAUUCUAUCCAUAGAGAGGAUUCUAUGUUGUGCAUCUUGUGACAUGAAAAAUCAGACCAGAGGAAUUAUUUGAAUGAUAAUUUUUAUGUAAAAUAGACAUUUACACCGAUUUUGCUUUGGAAAGACUUCUUUAGCCAAAAGUAUUCAUAACAGACAGUGAAAAAGCAGAGUUUAUAAUGAUUUGUGAAUUGGGUAAUAAACAUAGAAGCAGCAUAAGCAUUCAAAAUGAAGUAUUCCUAAUUGGUAUUCCAGGUGUAAAUAAAGAAAGCCCAGUAAAAACAUCUGAAAAACAGAGGCUGGGAAACAAGAAUGCUACGAACAAACAAAAUCCAAAGCAAGUAUUCCUCAAUGACAAAAUAAAAUAGCUGAGUCAACUCACUUGAGGCCAACUUUGAUCUAAGAGAAAGGCAGUCUGUAACUUCCAUAGAUGUCAUUUUAAUCUCAGGAAAUCACUGAACACACAGGAAGAAAAGUUUUGAAGCACAUGCUUGGAAAACAGCCUCGUUAGGUUCACCACGUUUUUCCGCGAGUGUAAAAUCUGACUUAUGAUUUUAGCGGCACUCACCUUGUGCAAUAUUAAAACAAUCCGUCACAUUUAUGACACUGAUUUUGUCUUCUCAGUGCCACGAACCUUUCGGCCAGAUUUGCAACGGGCCUGGUUUGUAGGCGGUAUACAAGCAAGCUGCCCUUUGACACAUCCAACGUGUGUGACACUUUCUAUUUGGGCUCGUAGAUAUAAUAACUCCAGUGCCGUCAGAACUAUCUGGAAUCAAUCAAUGACAUUUAUUGAGCGCUUACUACAUGCAGAGCACUGUACUAAACGCUUGGGAGAGUACGAUAAAACAGAGUUAGCAGCCACGUUGGAAUGCGCUAUUUUUGUAUGGAUUGUGUUCGACAGGUGUGAAUAAGAUGUAACUUUUAAAGGCAUGAUAAAGACUACAAAUUCAAAAAGUGAUGCAUAGUUAUUCAUAUUACUGGCUUUGAUGCCUCUUGAGGUUGCUCUUUUAAACAAGGCCACUUGUAGCCAAAAAGCAACAUUUUCUAGGGGUCGAUUGAUAAAAUGUGAAUAUCGCUGCUAUUGGUAUGUGAAGAGCACAGGGUUCCAUUUAAGUCUCCCUGAAGGGGUGUUUGAAAAGUCAAAAAUUCAUUAGCUUGGCUACGUCUCAAAUAACUGGAGUUAUGCUUACACAGCCCUAAGCCAAUCCGUGAUAUUUAUUGAACCUUUACUGUGGGUAGAACACUGUAUGAAGCACUUGAAAGAGUGUAAUGCAUUAGAGUUGGUAGACACGACCACUGAAGUCGUACAAGCGCUUAGUACAGUGAUUCGCACACAGUAAGCGAUCGAUAAAUACGAUUAAUAAUAAUAAUAAUAAUAUGGACAAUGAAACGAUACAGAAGUAGGAUUCUAGGACAAAAUGUUCAAUCCGAUUUUAGCGAUCUUCAAGCUGCUAUUCAAAUCCAGCAGUACUUAGUGAUAUCCAACAAUAUUCCAUCAAUUUGAAAGCUACAGAUUGAGUUCAUGGAUGGAUCUCACGUAUAAUCAUGUGAAAUCAGGAUAUGAAUGAUAUCAAUUUCUCAAAACAAAUCCUUCCCGUGCGUGGGAGGAGUUUGGAAGAUCAAUACUAAAUAAAAGCGAUUGAGCAACCAGGAAAAA